UCAAUAAGCGGAGGAAAAGAAACCAACUGGGAUUGCCUUAGUAACGGCGAGUGAAGCGGCAAGAGCUCAAAUUUGAAAUCUGGCCUUCUAUAGGGUCCGAGUUGUAAUUUGUAGAGGAUGUUUCGGGCACGGAGCCGGUCUAAGUUCCUUGGAACGGGGCGUCAUAGAGGGUGAGAAUCCCGUCUGUGCCCGGCGACCAAGCCUAUGUGAAACUCCUUCGACGAGUCGAGUUGUUUGGGAAUGCAGCUCUAAAUGGGUGGUAAGUUUCAUCUAAGGCUAAAUAUCGGCCAGAGACCGAUAGCGCACAAGUAGAGUGAUCGAAAGAUGAAAAGCACUUUGGAAAGAGAGUCAAAAAGUACGUGAAAUUGUUGAAAGGGAAGCGCUUGUAACCAGACCUGCCCGGGGGUGAUCAGCCGCCGUUCUCGGCGGUGCACUUGCACCCGAUCAGGCCAGCAUCGGUUCGGGCGGCCGGACAAAGGCGGUGGGAACGUAGCUCCUCUCGGGGAGUGUUAUAGCCUGCGGCGGCAUGCGGCCAGCCCGGAUCGAGGACCGCGCUCCGGCUAGGAUGCUGGCGUAAUGGUUGCAAGCGGCCCGUCUUGAAACACGGACCAAGGAGUCUAACAUCUAUGCGAGUGUUUGGGCAUCAAACCCAGGCGCGUAAUGAAAGUGAACGGAGGUGAGACCCCGUCCGCCGGGCGCAUCAUCGACCGAUCCAGAGGUCUUCGGAUGGAUUUGAGUACGAGCAUAGCUAUUAGGACCCGAAAGAUGGUGAACUAUGCCUGAAUAGGGUGAAGCCAGAGGAAACUCUGGUGGAGGCUCGCAGCGGUUCUGACGUGCAAAUCGAUCGUCAAAUUUGGGUAUAGGGGCGAAAGACUUAUCGAACCAUCUAGUAGCUGGUUCCAGCCGAAGUUUCCCUCAGGAUAGCAGUAACGUUUUCAGUUUUAUGAGGUAAAGCGAAUGAUUAGAGGCCUUGGGGAAGAAACUUCCUUAACCUAUUCUCAAACUUUAAAUAUGUAAGAAGCCCUUGUUACUUGACUGAACGUGGGCAUUGGAAUGCACCGUUACUAGUGGGCCAUUUUUGGUAAGCAGAACUGGCGAUGCGGGAUGAACCGAACGCGAGGUUAAGGUGCCGGAAUGCACGCUCAUCAGACACCACAAAAGAUGUCAGUUCAUCCAGACAGCCGGACGGUGGCCAUGGAAGUCGGAACCCGCUAAGGAGUGUGUAACAACUCACCGGCCGAAUGAACUGGCUCUGAAAAUGGAUGGCGCUCAAGCGUGCUACCUAUACCUCGCCGCCGGGGUAGAGACGAUGCCCCGGCGAGUAGGCUGGCGUGGGGGUCCGUGACGAAGCCUCGGGGGUGACCCCGGGUCGAACGGCCC
rnacentral:rRNA from 1 species